AAAAUGUCACUGUCACACUCACACACUGACACACACUGAGCAAUGGUCAGGACAAGAUGUCAUUAUCACAGUCUUGUUCAGAAGAGAACAUCCAUUAAGAAAGCGCAAGCAGCACAACAAUCUCCAAGAAACUUUCCACCGUGCUGCAUUUAUGAAAUUCCCGAUAUGCCCAUAGUGCUUGGCUUCUAUAAAUAUACCAUCAUCUGGCAAUGGCAUACAUAAUUCAUAUAAUCCAAGUGUGCUUCUAUGUGCAUUUACUUUUCAAAUUUAACUAAAAUCUCGAUUUUCUCUGCGUGCAAAUGCGCUCUUCUCCGUGACCAAUUCCAUCCUCUCCCACCAAAUCUCGUCGGGAGACGAUCUCCAUGCUCUUCCAUUAAAUUUGUCUCUGAAUAUGUUUUUGACUUUUCAUAAAAUUCGAUCAUAUCCAGAGUGAUGUUAUUUGGGUGCGAACUGAAGCAACGGAGUUUUGGUAAUUUAGGGUUUGUCCAUAGACAGGAACCAGCCAGGUUGGUGGGCAAGUGUUGGGCAAGCUUUCGAAGAUUUUAACCCUUUUAAAUGAGAGUGAUAGAUAGCAAAUUUUUGUUAACUCCACAAAUCACCUUCAACUCCAAUUUAUUAUUAUUGGCCAAAAUUAUUCGGUUUGGCUCUUGCUUGAAGACAGAUCCAUCACUAAAUCUUGCAUUUCGACUAUUUUUCUUGGAGCAUUGAAGAAAACUUGUCAAUAGCUGUUGCUGAGUUCAUCAAAUUGGCACCUACUCUUAGUUGGAGUUUUUGUGGACCUGUGAUUAGCACUAUGACAGACAGCAGUAGCACAUACUCAACACCAGUCACAGAGAGUGAUGUUGUAAGUGCUACCAACAAUGUAUACAUUUGCUUAAUCACCUUGGAGUUAGGUUCCAUAGCGAUCAAGUAUCAAGGCCUGACCAGCAAUCCUUUCCAGGAACACAUAGCAAGUUUGUUGAUUUUCCUUGUGGCUACAUUUUGCCAUGUUGUUGGACUUAAAGCAACCAAUAAAAACUUGCUUGCUACUAUUAUUAGACACUUUUCAGGUGUAAUUGCGUGUGAAGCACUCCUGUUGAUCCUUGUCGCUCAAUUAUUCAGGUGCAUCAUCAUCAAUAUUCUUAUUUCAUUGGUAGUACUUUUGAACUACUAUGAGGAUGUCCGUAAACUGGUCAUUGUAUGUUUUGAGAGGAUAUUUAAAUCAGAAACUUGGAGCAGGCUUAGCUGGAAAGGUUCCAAUACUGCAAAUCAAAGUGUUAACUCAGCUUCACAAGAAGGUUUAUAUGCUGAGGAAACAGAAAUUCAAGAAUUUGAGACCAGAGUUAGUUUAGAAUGACUUAUAGGAUGGCAGGUCUUCAUAAACCUCUUGGGAUUGCUUAGACAACACUUGUAACAGUUCUAUGUUAUUGUCUUGAUAGUAUGUUCACCAAGGAUAUGCCAAUGUGCGCUGUUGUUGUGGUAAACAGGGAUGAUUCUUGCUUUGGUGUUCAACUUAUUCCUCUUUUCUGCUAUGAGAGUGAAGCAUAUACAGCCUCAAAUAUUAACGGAGCUCAAACAUUCAAUGAACAGAGCUUAUGUUGUGGAAGAAAGAAAAUAGUAAGAAACUGGGCCUAGUAAGAUGUUACUGAAAUUUAUUCAAUUAAACUUUACUUCACAUGGACUACUGACCUAAUUAGCAAUGGUUAGAAAGCAUCUAGGAUCUCUGGAUUAUCUGCCCUGUAUUCAAUCAAUAUAUGAACAUCCGAUUGCUGCUAAGUUUGCUAUCACACUUUAUGUCCUGGAAACUCAUUCUAUCUGAGGAUGAAUGAGAAUCUGUUAAGAGAAGCAAAAUGUGGUCUGUGGUUAAAUAAAAUGUUUUUGAAGUACAAAAUUAUGAUACAUCAAGGGCAAAGAUCGUUUUUCUUAUUUCUCUUUUAUGCAAUAUAGCACAUGUUUAAUAAUUUCGAAUAUGUUGUGAUUGUCUCUUCUUUGUACUGUUAUUCAAUUAUUUGAAUAAUGUUGAAGGAAAAAUGCAUAAUUUCCUGAACUAGAAGGAUUGCAUUCGAUUGCUAUUGACUUAAAUAUGAUUAGAAAAACGUGUAUACUUCUAAAUGCUAUAUUUAUCUGAACCUAAAUGAAAUGUAACUAAUACCAAAUGUACUGCAUGUUCUGACCUGAAUGAAUUUGUUUGACUUAACUCAGUUGUUUCGCGCUUGAUAGCCACAAAUGGUACAUAUAACUUUUAUGCAACUAUGAAUGUCUUUAUAAUUUACAUUGAUGUCUAAAUUAAUAUUUCUUUGUACUAGUAAUUACUUUUAUGUGAUGUAACGACAAUACAACAGCACUUGUCCCAAUAGGUGGGGUUGGUUAUAUGAAUCAAAAGAUGUCAUUGCGUCUUGUCAUGUGUUGUAAUAACAAUAUGUGAAAAUAUACCAUAUUUUUGAACUUCCAUUCAAUGUAUGGUUUGGACUUCAGAGUACGUAUUGGUGAAUGUUUGACUAUAUUUCAUAGACAAGUGAAAUUGAAAGAAAGUGAGAAAAUCUGCAAGAGUUUUCUGGAAAGGCAAAUCUUGUUCUGGGAAGUACUUUGUUAGCAAGUCUGCAGGUUUAUCAAUUGAGGGAAUAUAAGAUAUGCGAAGUUUGUUUUAUAAACUCUUUGCUUUAAGAAAAAUAAGCUUAACUCCAUCUGUUUUAUCCUGGAGUGAAGCACUGGAUUAUGAAUCAAUUUGGUGCUUAAAUUGUCACAAUUAUAGAAUGUAUGGUCACUAAAUUUAAGGCUAUAUAUAAUAUUGAAGGCCUUGAGUUGAGGCCACUGAGAAAGGCACUCAUAAAUCUGAAAAACUAACUUCAAUGGGUGUUAAUAUUUGUUAUGUUGUUAUAGAAGACUUUGAUGGUAGCCCACGAGUCUUGCCAAACAUCAUGCUUUGCAGAAUUCAACAGUUUUGUUACUGAAUUGAAAUAGCACUGCUUAGUGAUUGAAGAUAGAAACAUGCAGUAAUAUAUUCUCGGACUUUAACCAUUGCCACCUCCCCCGACCCUAUUUUUCUCCCACAGAUUCCAAGAAUGUCAUCUUGAUGUGUGUUGAGACCUUUUUGCAGAACUGUGUCUUCUUCUUCUUUCACUACAAGGCUUCAUCCCAGAUUCUGAGCUGAACUAAAAUUGCCUGCUUUUAGCCUGUAUUGUUGCUCCAGCCUUGUAUUAGAACCAUUUUUGCUGGUGCAAGUGUGUAGAAUGUAUGGUCUCAAAGAUCAAUGGAUCUCUAGUACCAUGCCACAGGAAACUGAUAGGUUGGAGAUUAGGUUCCUAGAAACAGAGAAGAGUAUGUAUCUGUGUCUUGCAGUUACUAAAUGCUACAGCCAAGUUUGUUGCAUUUAAGCACUGAUGCAUGAAGCAUGCCAACUAAAUCUGCAAUGGUUGAGCAGAGUCCAGAGGCUCUGGAUCAUUCUUAAUCUGGCAAAAAUUUCUUGAUCACCAUUACUCCUGGAAAAACAAUUCCUGUCUCACAUUUUAGGCUUGUAGUAGAAGAUGCAUGAUAAUCUAGUCAAAGAAGCAGGUUGUGGUUAAGUUAGAAUGUUCUUGAAUUAUGAACUUAAGAAAGGAUGGCCAAAAAUUGUUUUGCAAAUAUUUUUGUGAAAUUUAGCAUUUGUGUGAUAAUUUUCAAUAUGUUAUUUUACUUGUUUGGCCUUAUUGAUGGAGUGAAUGAUGCUGAAGUAAAAAAGUGCAGUUUUCCUGACCAUUAAAGAUCUAUAAUGGAGUGGUUGUGCCUGCAAUGAGAUGAAAGAUUUUAAAUAUUUGUUCUUUUAAGUACAUGAUUUUCAAUUGACCCUCAGUGAUGCAUCACUGUAUUCGCCACCAGGUUUUGAUAUAAAUAAACUUGUUCUCUCCAACUUCUUAGCUGUUUCUUACUCUUUUUUUCUUUGGAUGAUAAAAGAAUUUCAAUAUGAUGAUGAGAAGGAUAAUACAAACUCGGGGUUAAGAGUUCCCCUAUACAACAGCAAAAUCCAAAAGCAAAAAGAUAUAUAUUAAAUUAGAGUAUUGGACUCAUAGUUUUGGUUGGAUGACUUCACAAACUUUCCUGGUUCAUAGCAUGAUUCAUGGCACCCUCUGGUAAAUUGUAUCCCAAAGCUAUACUUCCAUUUCAUCUCUCUGGAGUUAGCUUUGGUGGCUGUUUGUGUGCCAAAAUUCAGGCACCAAUCCUUUUCAGGCAUGGUAGUCAAGUGUGCUAGCUGUAUUCAUAGCUAUAUUUUACCAUGCCAUUUCACCAAAAGCAAUUUCAGCUUGAUAGUUGCGAUUUGCUUCCUCAUGCUUCUUGAAUGAAUGCAUGUGCGACUCUUUGGAUGCUUGUUAAUGAACAAAAGACUUUGUCUUCAACUCGAGAUCGCAGUUUUCUUUGACAUGUUAGAGAAAAUUUCAAAUAGACGCCUAAUUCAAUGACAUGACAUGUUUUUAACUGAGAAACUUGGGCGAAAAGCAGCAGCAGAUUAAGUUGUGCAGUGUCUAUUAUUUGCAAGGAAAUCCAUAUUGAAGAGGCUUCGCUGAGAAGCUCUUUUUGUUCUUGAUGAUGUUGCUAGGUUAGAGGCAGAGCAGUAAUUAGUCACUAGAACUAACAAGAGAGCCAUUGAUUAGUUUGUCUCUGGUUGUUGGGUCUUUAUGUGACACCAAGAAGUUUUGGCUAGUACCAGUUCUCCAGAGGUUUAUACAUGACUUGCAUGUUGAUUAUGCUAUAUUAGAUGAUAUUCACCCCUAUCUUUGUUAUUUCAUAGCAAUUCAGGGAUUGCCAUUUAGAAUGAUGUGGUUCUUUUGUAAAUCUUUAUUUCUUGUCUCUCUGACAAUUCAAAGAAUUAAGUUACUAUUCACUAGUCUGUUGCAGUACACAUGCAUCUUUUUAAA